rnacentral:rRNA from 1 species
AGCAGCCGCGGUAAUUCCAGCUCCAAUAGCGUAUAUUAAAGUUGUUGCAGUUAAAAAGCUCGUAGUUGAACUUCGGGAUCAAUGAAUCGGUCAUGCUUUAGUAUGUACUGGUUCUAUUGGUUCUCACCUUCUAAUGAACCAUAAUGUCAUUAAUUUGGUGUUAUGGGGAAUUAGGACUGUUACCUUGAAAAAAUUAGAGUGUUUAAAGCAGGCUCCCGCUUGAAUACAUUAGCAUGGAAUAAUGAAAUAGGACAUCGCAUUCUAUUUUGUUGGUUUCUAGGAUCGAUGUAAUGAUUAAUAGGGAUAGUUGGGGGCAUUAGUAUUCAAUUGUCAGAGGUGAAAUUCUUGGAUUUAUUGAAGACUAACUACUGCGAAAGCAUUUGCCAAGGAUGUUUUCAUUAAUCAAGAACGAAAGUUAGGGGAUCGAAGACGAUCAGAUACCGUCGUAGUCUUAACCAUAAACUAUGCCGACUAGGAAUCGGGCGAUGUUGACAAAAUGACGCGCUC